rnacentral:rRNA from 1 species
GUAAGGAAUAUUGGACAAUGGACGCAAGUCUGAUCCAGCCAUGCCGCGUGAAGGAUUAAGGUCCUCUGGAUUGUAAACUUCUUUUAUAAGGGACGAAAAAAGGCUUUUCUAAGUCGUCUGACGGUACCUUAUGAAUAAGCACCGGCUAACUCCGUGCCAGCAGCCGCGGUAAUACGGAGGGUGCAAGCGUUAUCCGGAUUCACUGGGUUUAAAGGGUGCGUAGGCGGGCAGGUAAGUCAGUGGUGAAAUCCUAGAGCUUAACUCUAGAACUGCCAUUGAUACUAUCUGUCUUGAAUAUUGUGGAGGUAAGCGGAAUAUGUCAUGUAGCGGUGAAAUGCUUAGAUAUGACAUAGAACACCUAUUGCGAAGGCAGCUUACUACGCAUAUAUUGACGCUGAGGCACGAAAGCGUGGGGAUCAAACAGGAUUAGAAACCCCGGAGUCC